rnacentral:rRNA from 1 species
CGAUGUGGGAAGGCCCAGACAGCCAGGAUGUUGGCUUAGAAGCAGCCAUCAUUUAAAGAAAGCGUAAUAGCUCACUGGUCGAGUCGGCCUGCGCGGAAGAUGUAACGGGGCUAAACCAUGCACCGAAGCUGCGGCAGCGAACGUAUCACUUAAAGCGAUUCAGCGGGUUACGAUUGACGGAGCGAAGCGACGUCAAAGCGUAUACAAAGUCGAGUCGGUUUAAGGAUACGUUCGUUGGGUAGGGGAGCGUUCUGUAAGCCCGUGAAGGUGGCCUGUGAGGGUUGCUGGAGGUAUCAGAAGUGCGAAUGCUGACAUAAGUAACGAUAAAGCGGGUGAAAAGCCCGCUCGCCGGAAGACCAAGGGUUCCUGUCCAACGUUAAUCGGGGCAGGGUGAGUCGACCCCUAAGGCGAGGCCGAAAGGCGUAGUCGAUGGGAAAC